rnacentral:rRNA from 1 species
AUUGAACGCUGGCGGCAUGCCUUACACAUGCAAGUCGAACGGCAGCACGGGAGCAAUCCUGGUGGCGAGUAGCGAACGGGUGAGUAAUAUAUCGGAACGUGCCCAGUAGUGGGGGAUAACUGCUCGAAAGAGCAGCUAAUACCGCAUACGACCUGAGGGUGAAAGGGGGGGAUCGCAAGACCUCUCGCUAUUGGAGCGGCCGAUAUCAGAUUAGCUAGUUGGUGGGGUAAAGGCCAACCAAGGCAACGAUCUGUAGUUGGUCUGAGAGGACGACCAGCCACACUGGGACUGAGACACGGCCCAGACUCCUACGGGAGGCAGCAGUGGGGAAUGUUGGACAAUGGGCGCAAGCCUGAUCCAGCAAUGCCGCGUGCAGGAAGAAGGCCUUCGGGUUGUAAACUGCUUUUGUCAGGGAAGAAAUCCUCUAGGUUAAUACCCUUGGGGGGAUGACGGUACCUGAAGAAUAAGCACCGGCUAACUACGUGCCAGCAGCCGCCGUAAAAC